rnacentral:rRNA from 1 species
GACGAACGCUGGCGGCGUGCUUAACACAUGCAAGUCGAACGGAAAGGCCCUGCUUUUGUGGGGUGCUCGAGUGGCGAACGGGUGAGUAACACGUGAGUAACCUGCCCUUGACUUUGGGAUAACUUCAGGAAACUGGGGCUAAUACCGGAUAGGAGCUCCUGCUGCAUGGUGGGGGUUGGAAAGUUUCGGCGGUUGGGGAUGGACUCGCGGCUUAUCAGCUUGUUGGUGGGGUAGUGGCUUACCAAGGCUUUGACGGGUAGCCGGCCUGAGAGGGUGACCGGCCACAUUGGGACUGAGAUACGGCCCAGACUCCUACGGGAGGCAGCAGUGGGGAAUAUUGCACAAUGGGCGGAAGCCUGAUGCAGCAACGCCGCGUGCGGGAUGACGGCCUUCGGGUUGUAAACCGCUUUCGCCUGUGACGAAGCGUGAGUGACGGUAAUGGGUAAAGAUGCACCGGCUAACUACGU